CCUUGGAUCGGCUCCUAAGCAGGUUGUAGAGCCAUGUUCAUCAUCAUCGAUAGAAUCCCGACCUCAGGUUUGGUAAUCAUCGAUCAAGUGGUUAGACAAGAGCUAAUAACAUAAAGCCGCUUUGUUUUGGUUCCUUGGGUCUCCCUUCAGUUUUCAGGCCUACCCUGUCAGUGAACACUUGAUUUUGAUCUAAAGGGGAGACAUUGAGACGG
rnacentral:lncRNA from 1 species